UUUAUCUUGGCGUGGUAUGUGUGGUGGAUUGUGUUCAUGUUUGGCUCGUUUUAUUAUCCUGCUUCUUAGUCCGACACUGCACCAAACGCUUCACUAAGUUAGUCCAGCUUAGUCUAGUCUAAGCCAGUCCAGCUUAGUCCCUGCAGUUAGUCCAGUCCGAGACCGUCCGGCGGAACAAACGCACCCUCAUUUUCCAUGGACUUCUCUUUCUCUGUCUCGCAACCAGCCACACCAUCUAUUCACUCAAAAUUCCAAAAAUCUUAAAACCUCAUUUCCUCCAGUCGAAAAAUCGCGAUCACCCUUCACCAUGGAAAUUUUAUUCGAAAAAAUUAUAACAGAACUCCGCUGUUCCCAAUUCGAGAACUCUUCACUCUAAGCCCGAGUAUCAACAAGAGGCCAGAAGACUGAAGAUUGCAUUUUGGAUUCUGAUUUCGCAGACUUUGUGGAGUUGCAGCCUGAGCUGAAGCAGCUAAAGUUGAGUGUUUUAAUCGGUUGUAUAUAUCACCCAGUUUACCCGUUCCUAUUAUUGCUCAACAGGGACGAGUUUCACAGCAGAUUACUUGAGGAAAAAUGUACAUCCUCAUCUACACAAAAACAAAAAUGAAAGAAGAGUGAACUACUAAAUGGUAGUGUGAACAGUUUGGACAUCGAAAAUAAAUAUAUUUUUAUGUGAUUGUAUUAGGCCUAAGGUUUUGGGGAUGUGGUUCUGCGACUGGGAUUUCUAGGUGGGGUGGAGGUUGGAGCGGCUGGGAUCUAGAGGGUGGUCUUAGGCCUAAGGUAUUUGGGAAAAGGGCUGUUGUGUGUUGGUGAAGUUCGAUAGAAAGAUUUUUCAGUGUGACCGGAAUACGAAAUGGUACAUCACGUGUUAUUAUGCAAAUGAUGGGAAAUGUGUGUUAAAAAGUUAAUAACUUAAAAAGUAAAAUUUCACACCACUUAUAUAAAAACACAUGGUGUAUCAUCCGUGUUCCUUUCAUAAUUAAAAAUUUCUCUGUUGGAUGGAUUCUCUAAUAAAAAUAAUCAACUUUUAAUUUAGGAUAAUUUCUGGGAGAAAUUUUUAAACCAAAUUUACAAAUGAAAUGAGGUGUUACUAAUAAGAAAUAAGCACGUUAAUCAACACUUAAGUAAUAAUGCAAUCAUCAAU